UACGUAGGGUGCAAGCGUUGUCCGGAAUUAUUGGGCGUAAAGAGCUCGUAGGCGGUCUGUCGCGUCGGAUGUGAAAACCCAGGGCUCAACCCUGGGCCUGCAUUCGAUACGGGCAGACUAGAGUUCGGUAGGGGAGACUGGAAUUCCUGGUGUAGCGGUGAAAUGCGCAGAUAUCAGGAGGAACACCGGUGGCGAAGGCGGGUCUCUGGGCCGAGACUGACGCUGAGGAGCGAAAGCGUGGGGAGCAAACAGG
rnacentral:rRNA from 1 species